UACAGAGGCCUCAAGCGUUGUUCGGAUUCAUUGGGCGUAAAGGGUGUGUAGGUGGCGCCGUAAGUCGGGUGUGAAAUUUCGGAGCUUAACUCCGAAACUGCAUUCGAUACUGCGGUGCUUGAGGACUGGAGAGGAGACUGGAAUUCAUGGUGUAGCAGUGAAAUGCGCAGAUAUCGGGAGGAACACCAAUGGCGAAGGCAGCUCGCUGGGACGGUACUGACGCUGAGACGCGAAAGCGUGGGGAGCAAACAGG
rnacentral:rRNA from 1 species